UCGCUUUCGUCUCUCUAUUUCUUCCACUUCUGCUGUCUUCUUGUUGUAUUGUAACUUGUAAAGCUUUUGAUAUAUCUCUUUUCUCUACUCUCCUAUACUUCCCAUCUAUUUGUAUGAUUAAAAUGAGCAAGGUGGUGGGUUUCAUAUUCCCUCCAACUGAUGAAGAAAUCAUCAUGCACUUUCCUAGAUGAAACAAGCGGUAUUUGGACUAACAAUUCUGGAAGUCAUGGUGCAUACAAUAUUGAUCCACUGAUUUGGCCUUUAAAUCGUGGGAAUCAUGAAGCACAGAACAUUGGUUCACCGGUAAACCGCUGUGAGCUUCCAAUGGAAGUAGAUGUCUAAUGACAGAUCUAAUGGCUGGACUUUUCAAUUAGAAACGAGUGAGCAGGAUGACGACUUUAUCAAUUAACUUUUGUCUGACGGUGUUCUACUUUACGAAGAAACUAUUCACACCCGUCCUCAUGGUGUCAACCGAACAAUUUCAGUGAGAGAUUGAGAAAUUCUGCCAUUAGUUAUUGGAAAAUAUAUUCUAUCAGUAUAUUUUUUAACUGAAAGCUAGUUUUACAGAAGGAUUUUAUUAGCAUCAUGGGUCUUGAAAGAUCUUAAAAUUUGAGAUAUGUUGACAUAUUUUACUGCUACCAUAGUUUUUGGGAAUAUUUACAUAUUUCUAUACCUUGUUGAUGUAGGGAAUUUUGAGGAUUAAUUUGUCCCUUCAAAUUUAUGUGUAACAGUUUGGGUAUGGUGGUUUGAAAGAAUACCAACAAAUGCAAGAAGGUUUAAUCACCUACUGUAACUCCAUCUUCUUCCAAGCUUCGCCAAAAUACAAAUGGAGAAAGUAGUUUAUAUGAUGAUAACUGGUAUCAACAUCCAACUCAAACAGAAAUGCCCAAUAGAAUUAAUUUGGUCUGUAUGUGCCUUACCUUCUGGCUUCAAAGCUUGCAAAGCUCAACCUAAACCAAAAUCCCACAACUUGGUAGAAAAGGCAUGUGCUCCUAGAAUACUCCAAUCACAUGAUGAAAGUCCACGCACAGCCAUAACAGUAUACAGAGACAGGGUAAUGAUGCCACUUCACACACUGUUACAUGAGGUAGUCUUAUCUUCAUGAUUUCUUCUUGCAGGCGAUAGGAGUUGAAGAGCCUGCUAUUAAUCUGCCUCAAAAAAGAAACCCUACUGUGAAGCUGCACAAAGAUCAGAAAAUAGCGGAAACAACUAAAGCAAAAACAAAUUUGAAGUCAAGAUUUUCAACGUCUGAUGGCUGCUAUAGAAAUGGCUCCAUCUUUAUGGAGACUUCUUUGUUAAACCGUGGACAAAUCCCACCAUCUAUAUGCAUUAGGAACGCAGUUGUAAGUGCAGUUUUAUCGAUAUUUUGUAUCUGGGAGAUGGUGUCUCUUCACAAGUGUGACCCAUGCAUGUUCUCUUUCAUAUUAAAUGACAUUUACUGAUACGAUCUAAACUUA